UCCUUCACAAUUCCCUCUCUUCCUCACAAAAUCACGCGGCCACACACCAUAAACAACCCUCCUCCACCGUCAAUCAUCUUCAAACCGCUUCAAACCCUCAGCCGCCGCGAAUCUACCGGCGAAUCCACGAUCUCCACCGCCACGAGCUCAAGCUCGCACAACCCACAAAACCCUCCUUCAUCGCCCUUACCGUAACCUCUCAACAGAAGCAACCCACACUCAAAACCCACACGAAACUCCGCCGUUAACCCCCUUCAACCUUCAGCCGCCGCCGUUCUUCAUCAUAAACCCUCCGCAAGCUCCUUCGGUUUCAUCGCAAACCCUCGACCAUCGCUCUCGCCACCGUCACCUUCAUCUUCACUCACAAAACCCUCCGCUUCACAAACCGGCUUCACCGCGCAUCGACCUCCAUCACCUCGCGACCACCACCUUCAAAUCUCUCACACUCCUUCAAACCACCGCCUACCACCAACUCAAACCUCACUCGAUUCCAACCUUCCAUCUUCAACAAACCCCCUCUCCGUAACCUGCGAUUUCCAAGCAACACCAAACCCUUCCUCGCCACCAAAAAACCCUCGCCGUUUGUCCCUCAUCUACAAACCCUUACGCCUCCAUUUCACUAUCCAUCCCUUCAUUUCCAGAUUCCGAGCCAACCGAUUGAUUCUGGAGAUGGCGAUGGUUGUUUUUAAGGUUAGGAUAGCAGAGGAUCUUCGCGUUGAAAUUCAUUUGAAGCACAUGGGGAUUGCAUUUCAGACAUAAUGUGUGCAUCCGAUGUAAUGAAAACUACCGGCCACAAGUGGAGAUGGGGGCUCUUUCAGUUUGUAGUCUUCACGAGGUCCACCUAGACGGUAAACAAAA
rnacentral:lncRNA from 1 species